rnacentral:rRNA from 1 species
AGCAUGUGGUUUAAUUCGAAGCAACGCGAAGAACCUUACCAGGCCUUGACAUGCAGAGAACUUUCCAGAGAUGGAUUGGUGCCUUCGGGAACUCUGACACAGGUGCUGCAUGGCUGUCGUCAGCUCGUGUCGUGAGAUGUUGGGUUAAGUCCCGUAACGAGCGCAACCCUUGUCCUUAGUUACCAGCACGUUAUGCUGGGGACUCUAAGGAUACUGCCCCGGUUAACGGGGAGGAAGGUGGGGAUGACGUCAAGUCAGUAUGUCCCUUACGUCCAGGGCUACACACGUGUUACAAUGGCCGGUACAAUGAGUUGCGACCCUGCAAAGGUAAGCCAAUCUCAAAAAACCGGUCUCAGUUCGGAUUGCAGUCUGCAACUCGACUGCGUGAAGUCGGAAUCGCUAGUAAUCGUGAAUCAGAAUGUCACGGUGAAUACGUUCCCGGGCCUU